AAGACAUGAUUGCUCUCAGUGUCCCUGUCCCUGGAGGUGUUCAAGGCUAGAUUGAAUGGGACCCUGGGCAGCCUGGUCUGGUAUUAAAUGGGGAGGUUGGUGGCCCUGCAUGUGGCAGGGGGGUUGGAGAUUCAUGACCCUUGAGGUCCGUUCCAACCCUGGCCAUUCUGUGAUUAAAAUUAAUCUCUCUGCAUGAAUAACUUUAGGCAGGGAUCCUAAGGAAUGAGCUCUCCCUUCUUCAUUUUCUUUAGGUGUGAGUUGCCUUUUAAUGAAGAACUGGGAAACUUGGCUCCUUCUCCAGACUCCUGAUACUCCAGAAUGUGACAAAGACAGCAUGAGCCUUGCCUGCUCUUUGGCUGAUGAAAGUCUGCAUCCUAUUGCUACCUCUCAUGUGUGCCAGCUCCAGAAGAGGAUGAGAUAUGAAAAUCUCAUCUGAGUUUGCUGCUGUAAUCGUUAUUUUGGAGGCUCCAAUCACUGUUACCCUGCUGCUCAGGCUCUUGAACUUCAGCCUACAGCCUGCUGUCACUGUGCUGACAGGUGUUUUGAGCCCGAAUAAGUGGUACUGCAAUGAAUUUCAGAUGUAAGCAUUGCCAGAUGCUUCCCUGACAUGUUUCUUCCUGCUGUGCAGAGCUCAGACAUGAGUGCUUUUCAUCUGAGGAACGAGAAACAACAGUAUCUUCAGGUGGUAUCUUUGAAUUUCUACAAUGGACCUGUGAGCAGCAUGCAGGUUACAGCAUCGCUUCCUGUCCAGGCUGGCCUAGCACAGCCUGUGUCCCAGUGUGCAGCUCUCGGGGCUCUCUGCCUCCAUGCUGUCCAGCAGGUGCUGGCUCAGCUACACAGUGGAAACACACUUUCAAGCACAUCCUCUUCUCCUCACUCUCUGCAGCAUUUGUGACAGAGCUUUGCCAAUCCAGAAAGGUAGGGUUGUGCAAGGUGUCCAGUAACAAAGCUCGUUGUUACCCAGAGUUCAGUUUUAUGAAGAGCCUUUGAAAUUCCCAGACUAAAGCCAGAUGUGCUUUUCUAAAGGUGUUUUUGCUGAAAGGUGGAUUCUGUGUUAGUUAUCGUCCAAGAGAGAAAUGAUGCCAUCAGUGUACAGCAAAUCAUUUGUCUCCAGAAGGGUUAAGGCAAAUAAAACUGUGAGUCAUUAGAAUGUAAUUCCCUUA
rnacentral:lncRNA from 1 species